UAUAAUAUAUAUAUAUGUGUGUGUGUGUGUGUUUAUAAAUAUUAAAAUUUGCAUAAUAUGAACUAAAAGUAGAACGGAGAGUGAAGCGUCCAAUUUAUUCUUACGCACAUUUUACUGCAAAUUAGUUUUUGGAAAUAAUACAGCCAUGGCGUGAAGGUUUAAUCUUUUAGAUUUGUAGUAUAUAAUGUCUCAUAAUGUUGUUAUGUUCCUCGAGGAAGAUUUUUAUAGACCAUUUGACAGUACUAUGGUAUAGUAUUUUUCUAUUUCUUCUAUAAUAUGAGAGGAGAGUCCUAUUGACUGGAUAUAGCGUACCAACCCUAUUUUUCCAAGUUAAAUUUCGUGAAUUAAAAAAAAAGUUCUUGUACAGCUUACGUUUGUGUACCUAUCUAUAUCUAUUAAUAAUUCACCAAGUACUUUUGGAAAGCCUUUAUUUAAAUAUUUUUAGAAAUAAAUAUCUAGCAUAAAAUAUUAGUGUAAAAGUUUUUACUUGUGAUACCUAAUUAAAAUAAAUAUAAUAUAGUAGGGGGUAUUUGAUACAAUAAAAAGAAAAUGAAAUUCCGGGAGGUAAAAUACUUAUUUUGUGUUGAACAAUACUUACUAGGUAACAGCAUUGGUUACUUCACCCAAUCACUGUAAAAAUACCUAUUACAAUAAUGAAUAAUAAUAUACCAUAAUCGAAGUAGGUACCCUAUUACUAAAUUGACAAUUACCUUGCUCACAAUUCUGUGCACGUGCUACAGCGACACCCACUUUCCUACGUCAUUAGAAAAUGUUUAAUAGUAUUACACGUGUCCAGGCAAACAGUUAAUACAAAUCCAGCACGGCCAAAUAUGGUCUCGAAACACACCAGCGACCUGCCUGCCGGACCGUUUCAAAAUAGGUUUAUAGUUUAUACGCCGUGCAUAAGUGAAGUUUAAGAGCCGAUUGAUCGAGCGACUGUGAAAAUACUACCAAUGUGUCACAAGAAGUUACGAAAAAACAAUGCAUCACAAAUGAUUGGCGACUGAUCCCUGAAAUAGCUGUGAACGCUACAAAAAGAGCACUUACUAUGCAGGAAUAGUGGACUACGUAAAUGGUACCGAUGUUUAUGUAAAAUUUCUAGGGAAAUACGACAAUCGAUCAUUUUUAUACAAUUAUACGAGAGAAGAGAUUUACUUCCGCUACUACACAACAUUUCCCAUAUGGAAAAUUUAAGCAAUAAAGUCAAUACCUGCACAUAACAAUACAAAAUACAUAAGGCAGACAGUCAAUACAGAUGUAUGAGCAAAAUGUAAUAAAAUACUUAUAAUUUCAUAUUAAAUGUAUUAUUUAUUAUUAUUAUUAUUAGACUAUAGACUAUAGUAUAGACCAUAGCUAUACUUGGUCAUAUUUUACGCAUAAAAAGAUGAUAUUGGUAAAUUGAAAUAUUCAUGUAAUAUAAAU